rnacentral:lncRNA from 1 species
GUGAUAAUUUCUAAGAAUUUAACUUUCUAGAAAUCCAGGUCUCAUCCAGCCUGGAGAAGGGAGUUGCUAGAGACACUAUUAGAAGGGGAAGCUUCAUCACAAGCACCAGAGAGUUUGAUCUUGGAGCUGCUGACUAUAUGAAAGUCCUUCUUGUGGCCUGCUGUGAGCCUGAGCUGAAAUCAGAAUAACAGGAAGAGGAAUGGAGUUUUUGACAGCUUAAAUACACUUUUUUGUUGUUGUUGUUUUGUUUUGUAUUUUUGUUUGUUUUGCCAUGAACAGCUUAAUUCUGGGAAUUAAUUAACAGUGUUGAGGACAACAAAAGGAAACGAAGAGUGAAAAAAAAAAAUAGGGAAUAUGUUGGUUGUGUUGUUUCUUUUUUUUUUCCUCCAGUAAAGGAAAAGUAUUAGGUGUGUGAGGGCCUUUGUAUCAAGUCUGUAGCCUUUUUAAUUUGCUCGCACAAGCUGCAGUCAUAAGCAGGGUCAGCUGAUGUAUACCAGUAGAAUUGGUACAGCUGUGCAUACCUCUGGAAGGUCUGGACCCUUACCUGCUUGUCUUUGAAAGAGGUGCAAAUUAUAGCUGAGAUUUUCUCCAAGUCGUUUAAAGAAGUACACUCUUCACUCCUGUUAGACAGCAGCAGUAUGGGAAUGCCUACAUUCUCCAGGGUUAAUAUUGUGCAGCAAAUGGAGAAAAUGCCUGUAAUGAGACAAAACUUUGUGAACAAGGGUAACAUCUACACUGCAGAGGCAGGAGCUUCCCUUGGAGACCUUCACAUGAAUUCUUGCCACAGACAAGACAGGAAAUUUGGCACUUACUGUAGGACUGCCUCACGGUGCAUCCAGCAUUUCGACACAAGCUCAGUGCACAGACGUGAUUCACGUGAGAUGCAAGAUGAAAACGUUAUCUCUACAGCAUGUCUUUGUUUAUUCUUUUUCCCAAAAUUGCCAGACUUCCUAGCACAAUGUACAUACAAGUUUUGAUCAGAAGGUUUUAGAGGUAAAGGAAAACACAGGACUUGAAGAUAACAGCUUCAAGCUUCAAGAUAACAGAAGAUAACAACCUUCAUUUUGGAAUGUAUUCUGAUUCUAUUGCUGACUUUGAAGGCCAUGCAUUUUGGUGUUUAAAUAUGUCUAAUAUAGAUACAACUCCAGGGAGGCUUCUGUGAAGGGAAGCCGUCAUAGCACACUGGCAGCUGGCAGCAGUGCUGGCAGAGCCCAAGAGCUCUGUCCCUGUCAGUUCAGCCAGGUACAGGACAUAAUACCACUGAAAAUAACUUAGCCUAGGUUUGUUAUCACAAGAAGGCUUUUGAAUGACAUUAAAGUUGGAAAAGGAAAUAAUAUACACUUGGAAAACUCACUCAUUUACAUAUGUAAUCAAAUGUUCAGUGAGGCUUGCAUAAGUCUCUAGUUUGAGUGAUGGACCCUUGAAAUA